rnacentral:rRNA from 1 species
GACCCCGCACAAGCAGUGGAGCAUGUGGUUUAAUUCGACGCUACGCGAAGAACCUUACCAGAAUUUGACAUGGCGGAUAAGACCAUAGAAAUAUGGGGAUAAUACCCGCACACAGGUGGUGCAUGGUUGUCGUCAGCUCGUGUCGUGAGAUGUUGGGUUAAGUCCCGCAACGAGCGCAACCCUCGUUUCUAGUUACCAUCAUUAAGUUGGGGACUCUAGAGAGACUGCCGAUGUAAAUCGGAGGAAGGUGGGGAUGACGUCAAAUCAGCAUGCCCUUUAUAUCCUGGGCGACACACGUGCUACAAUGGCCGGUACAAAGAGAAGCAACAGCGCGAGCUCAAGCAAAACUCAGAAAGCCGGUCUCAGUUCAGACUGAAGUCUGCAAUUCGACUUCACGAAGGCGGAAUUGCUAGUAAUCGCGGAUCAGCAUGCCGCGGUGAAUACGUUCCCGGGGUUU